rnacentral:rRNA from 1 species
ACCGAAAGGUUGGUAGAGGAGCAUUGCAUGCGGGAAGAAGCAGUACCGUAAGGAGCUGUGGACUGCAUGGAAGAGAGAAUGCCGGAAUGAGUAGCGAGAUAGAGGUGGGAAUCCUCUAGGCCGAAUAUCCAAGGUUUCCAGAGUAAAGCUGAUCUGCUCUGGGUAAGUCGGGGCCUAAGGCGAGGACGAGAGUCGUAGCCGAUGGACAACAGGUGGAGAUUCCUGUACUGCGGUAUGACAGAACUGUGGGGACACGUAAGGAAAGCGGAAGCCGGGAAUGGAAAGCCCGGUGCAAGCGGGGUACCAGCCACUUUGGCAAAUCCGGGUGGCAAUGGGAAGCCGUGAUGCGGAGCGAAAUAAAGUAGCGAAGUCCGUGAGCCAUGCGUCAAGAAAAGCCGCUAUCGUUUAUACCGUACCCGUACCGUAAACCGACACAGGUGGAUGAGGAGAGAACCUAAGGCCGGCGGAAGAAGCAUUGUCAAGGAACUCGGCAAAAUGGCCCCGUAACUUAGGGAUAAGGGGUGCCUGGGAAACCAGGCCGCAGAGAAUAGGCUCAAGCAAC